AGCGAACGCUGGCGGCAUGCCUAACACAUGCAAGUCGAACGAGACCUUCGGGUCUAGUGGCGCACGGGUGCGUAACGCGUGGGAACCUGCCCUUAGGUUCGGAAUAACUCCCCGAAAGGGGUGCUAAUACCGGAUAAUGUCUUCGGACCAAAGAUUUAUCGCCUUUAGAUGGGCCCGCGUUGGAUUAGCUAGUUGGUAGGGUAAAAGCCUACCAAGGCGACGAUCCAUAGCUGGUCUGAGAGGAUGAUCAGCCACACUGGGACUGAGACACGGCCCAGACUCCUACGGGAGGCAGCAGUGGGGAAUAUUGGACAAUGGGCGAAAGCCUGAUCCAGUAAUGCCGCGUGAGUGAUGAAGGCCUUAGGGUUGUAAAGCUCUUUUACCCGGGAUGAUAAUGACAGUACCGGGAGAAUAAGCUCCGGCUAGCUCCGUG
rnacentral:rRNA from 1 species